UAUCACUGGGAUAAGAAAACAAAUGAAAAUAUAUUUUCAAAUCUCUUUUUGCAUAGUCCCUUUGCAUUAAUAUGAGUGUAUGUUGUUUCAAGUGUUUUGAUUUCGUAUCCGUGUUUUGAUUCCGCAUUCGUUUUUUGACUUAGUGUCCGGUGCUGAUUUUAGCGUAAUUAUUGCUUAACAGUUUAUCGGAAGGUUGACUAUUCUUUAUAACUUUACAGUGAACAUUAAUUUUAUAGUCGCCUCACAUAAAAGUCAUCAAGACAAUGAGCCGAUAAGAAUGAUAGAGCUGUCAAGGAUCUUGUAAUUCCACUGUCCGAAACUGCGCUGUUAUCGUUUGGAUUCUCACUGGAUGAGCCCGGUGAGCACGCAUCUCGCAUCUACCUUAUGGUCAAGCUGGGUCUUGAAAUGGAUAAGCACGAAGCUAUGAGCACAGAUGAUACUCCAGCCGCAACUACUGAUGAAGAUGCUCCUCCACUAGUGGAUGACACCGAGGAUGCCUCACACAUGGAAGAAGUUGAUUAAACAUAUACGGUUUUUAACUACUUAAGUAGCUUUUCGUAAUUUUUGAAAGUCUGAUUUGGAGAAAGGAAACGGUAUGCUGAAUUGAGUUUCUCGUAUCAGUUAGGGUCAACUAUUGUAAACAUUCAAUUUAAUGUUGUACCGCGUUAUAACGGCUGCAGAACAUGUAUAUUCUUGUCAUUAGUAAUAGCAUGCCAAAUACUUGAACUGACUACAUGUUAAUAAUAAAUAUAAAUUAUUUCAAAA